GACGAACGCUGGCGGCGUGCUUAACACAUGCAAGUCGAACGGAAAGGCCCUGCUUUUGUGGGGUGCUCGAGUGGCGAACGGGUGAGUAACACGUGAGUAACCUGCCCUUGACUUUGGGAUAACUUCAGGAAACUGGGGCUAAUACCGGAUAGGAGCUCCUGCUGCAUGGUGGGGGUUGGAAAGUUUCGGCGGUUGGGGAUGGACUCGCGGCUUAUCAGCUUGUUGGUGGGGUAGUGGCUUACCAAGGCUUUGACGGGUAGCCGGCCUGAGAGGGUGACCGGCCAAAUUGGGACUGAGAUACGGCCCAGACUCCUACGGGAGCCAGCAGUGGGGAAUAUUGCACAAUGGGCGGAAGCCUGAUGCAGCAACGCCGCGUGCGGGAUGACUGCCGUCGGGUUGUAAACCGCUUUCGCCUGUGACGAAGCGUGAGUGACGGUAAUGGGUAAAGAAGCACCGGCUAACUACGUG
rnacentral:rRNA from 1 species